rnacentral:rRNA from 1 species
CCUACGGGAGGCAGCAGUGGGGAAUAUUGCACAAUGGGGGAAACCCUGAUGCAGCGACGCCGCGUGAGUGAAGAAGUAUUUCGGUAUGUAAAGCUCUAUCAGCAGGGAAGAAAUAGCGACCUUUGGGUCGCCAGCAGGUACCUGAUUAAGAAGGCCCGGCUAACUACGUGCCAGCAGCCGCGGUAAUACGGAGGAUGCGAGCGUUAUCCGGAUUUUUUGGGUUUAAAGGGUGCGUAGGCGGACUGGAAAGUCAGCGGUAAAAUCGAGAGGCUCAACCUCUUUCCGCCGUUGAAACUGUCGGUCGUGAGUGGGCGAGAAGUAUGCGGAAUGCGUGGUGUAGCGGAGAAAUGCAUAGAUAUCACGCAGAACUCCGAUUGCGAAGGCAGCAUACCGGCGCCCGACUGACGCUGAGGCACGAAAGCGUGGGUAUCGAACAGGAUUAGAUACCCCAGUAGUC